UGAUAUCACGUAGUAUAAGGAGUGAGUAUAUAAAAGAUUCUGUAUGCAUUAUGGAUCCACCAGACAUCAUGUUGCCUGGAGAAGGCCCAUCAGUUGAGGAGGAUGAGGAGACUGUGUCUGUAUGUUCAAGGAGGCCUGAGGAUGCUGACACUGUUCUAGAGCCCUCUCAGUCUGGGACCACAUGUGACAAAGUGAGUAUUAAGAAAUGAAAACAAUGUGACAAGAGUAUUCAAUGAAAUAACUUAAAUCUAUGUUGCUACAGAACCCAGAAAACAUAAAAGGAGUGUAUAAACGCUACCUCCUUAAACAAAUGG